GACGGAGGAUGCAAGUGUUAUCCGGAAUCACUGGGCGUAAAGCGUCUGUAGGUGGUUUCAAAAGUCCACUGUUAAAGAUUGAAGCUUAACUUCAAAAAUGCCGUGGAAACUUUGAAACUUGAGUAUGAUAGGGGUAGAGGGAAUUUCCAGUGGAGCGGUGAAAUGCGUAGAUAUUGGAAAGACCACCAAUGGCGAAGGCACUCUACUGGGCCAUUACUGACACUGAGAGACGAAAGCUAGGGGAGCGAAUGGG
rnacentral:rRNA from 1 species